GUGAAGACGAGCAAAGCCGCUGAGGGAAAAUGUCUCCGUUUACAAAGUCGCUGACUUUGUCAGUCGGGAGAAUAGUUUCAGCAUGUGCAGUACGGCAUCACUCCUCUCUUACAACUGAACUGAUUGAAAACAUGGAUAAGAAAGCAACCUGGGACCGCUUCUACACUGAGAGCAGCAGCAGGACGACCACCUUUAAAAACUUUGAGUGGUUCUUCGGCUUCGAUGCUGUCCGGGACUUCAUUAUGCCCCUCUUGCAGACCAAGCCCCACCCAGAUGGUCUGCUCCAAGUCCUGGAUAUGGGCUGUGGCACUUCUGCUUUAGGACCAUGUAUUUACAGACACUCUCCUCUCCCAGUCCGGGUCACUUGUGCAGACAUUUCCCCCAUAGCUGUGCGACUGAUGCAGGAACAAGUCCAAGCUAAAACCAUUCAACCUCACAAUCUUUCCUCUCAGCUUGAGUUCAUAGAGCUGGACUGCACACAGCUCCACAACCACUAUGGUUGUCACAGUGUGGACCUUAUAGUUGAUAAGGGCACCACCGACGCCUUGUUGAGGUCUAAGGAAGGGAAAUUGAAGGCCAGACUGAUGCUGAAGCAGUGUUUGAAGGUGUUGCAGAGCUCAGGAUCUCUGCUCCAGUUCUCUGAUGAAGACCCUGAUGCCAGGCUACUGUGGCUAGAAACUGAGGCCCAGGAGCCGGGUGUGAUGGCGGCAGAUGUUGGGGUGCAGGAGGUUGGGGAGCUAAGGGGAAUGUCUUACUACUGCUACCAAGUGACUCCUCGCACUAUUGUAUAGCAACAUUCUUCAUCUGGAUUGUCAUAACAUUAAAUAAUUCAAUUACUGAACGUGAUUAUAAAACAGUCAUUCAUAAGGCACACAGAGAGACAGUUGUGAUUCACUUACAAUCCAGUUUUAAAAGUUGGAAGUGCCAAGAUGUGGCAGUCCCUUCGUCUAGCAGACUGUCUCAUCUAAGGUAGUUCACCCAUAUAUUCUUGCCUCUUCAUAAAAUAUUCAAGGAAGCUGUUCAAUGGGCCGCUACUUAAGAAAACACUAGCAAGUAGACACAUUUAAUGCAUAUAAAGUACACAUCACUACUCGGACAACACAUGCAGUAUGUCAUAUUUAAAAAUGCUUUAAGUAGCAUAUUUAGAAACAUACAUAAACUUGCUCACAUAUGCAGUAUACAGAACCAACCUGCAAAUAUAAAAAAUCACAAGCAAUAUAUUAGAUAAAUAUAAAGAUAUAGGAAAUACAGCUGGGGUGGGAUCUCGAUCACUGAACCAGAUUAUCUGAUCAGGAGAAAAAAGGUGGAGCACAGUAUUGUGCCUUUGUCACCUAACUGGACCCCCAAAGUCCAAGAUUCCAAAAUUGAGAGAGUGAACCAAUCUGAAACAGACCGCAGAGACAACAAGAGAUUCACUAGUUAUGAAGUAACCUGAAGGGGGAAAAAAAUCGCCUCUUUAUAAAAAAGAAUAAAAAUGAUAAAAGCUCCAGUUUGGGUGGGUUGGAAUAACUUUUGCAAAGCCGGUUACACAGAGAAAGUAUAGUAUAGUUAUUGUCAUAACCUUAAGAUCCUUCAGUUUUUUGUGUAGGAUGACAUUACAGUAAAAAGUUAGAGGGAGGUCAGAGACUUUCUAGUGGGUUGGUGGUUUCGCCCGUCCUGGCUCUCUGUCCCUGUCUCCAGUCCCUGCUCACUUCCCAGACCAUGAACUCUCCUCUCACUCCCCAGACCUGCCAUCAUCAGAACCUCCACUAGAUGGCCUCAGACACCCGCUGCCAGUCCUGGUCACAUGACAUCCCCUCCCAGUUACACACCUGUUCCCACUUUUAUCUCAUCAGACCUGCAGUUUAUGACCGUCUCUUUUUCCACACACUCUCUCACAGUUUGUCCUGAGAUGUCAUGUCCCUGUGCUUUCUUUUAUCUGUCUUGUUAGAUUUGUUUGUCUGUAUGGACUGGCUUCCAAGUUUUGAUGCUUUCCUCCCUCGUGAUUCCUGUACCUCUCAUUUGUUUUUCUGUUGCAGGAUAAUAAGAUGGAUGAAAUAAGAUUUCAGCCGAACCAAGUGAUGGGAGGUCUCGACUAAUGAGCCCACAUCUUUACAGAGACCUGGCUUCAUAUUGGCAUCUGGAAUUAAGCUGCACUUGAUGGGGAACAGCAGGACAGAGCACAGGACUCCUGUGGGACAAGAGGAGAUUGACUCUGUGUUUACAUUAAUGCUGCUUGGUGCUCAAACAUAUUGUAAAGUUGAUGAACAACGUUUUCCUAAUGUCAAGUUUCAAAUGUUAAGAUGUCAGCCAUAUUAUCAUCCAGGACAUUGUUUUUGUUGCUUUUGUUUAAAUUCCUACUGCUAAUUAAAAAAAUGCACUAAAGGAAUGGACUUCUGUUUUUGUUUUGUUUGAGAUGUUUCUGU